CUGGCUCAGGAUGAACGCUAGCGGCAGGCCUAACACAUGCAAGUCGAGGGGCAGCACGAGUAGCAAUACUUGGUGGCGACCGGCGCACGGGUGAGUAACGCGUAUGCAACCUACCCUUAACAGGGGGAUAGCCCGGAGAAAUUCGGAUUAACACCCCAUAACACUGUGAUUUCGCAUGGAGAUACAGUUAAAAUUACGAUGGUUAAGGAUGGGCAUGCGUGACAUUAGCUAGUUGGUGAGGUAACGGCUCACCAAGGCGACGAUGUCUAGGGGGCCUGAGAGGGUAGUCCCCCACACUGGUACUGAGACACGGACCAGACUCCUACGGGAGGCAGCAGUGAGGAAUCUUGCGCAAUGGGCGAAAGCCUGACGCAGCAACGCCGCGUGCGGGAUGAAGGCCUUCGGGUUGUAAACCGCUUUCAGCAGGGAUGAAAGUGACAGUACCUGCAGAAGAAGCCCCGGCUAACUACGUGCCAGCAGCCGCGGUAAUACGUAGGGGGCAAGCGUUAUCCGGAUUCAUUGGGCGUAAAGCGCGCGUAGGCGGCUUGUUAAGCGAGAUGUGAAAACCGGGGGCUCAACCCGCAGCCUGCAUCUCGAACUGGCAGGCUUGAGUCUGGUAGAGGAAAGUGGAAUUCCCAGUGUAGCGGUGAAAUGCGCAGAUAUUGGGAGGAACACCAGUGGCGAAGGCGGCGCUCUGGAACGUUUCUGACGCUGAGGCUCGAAAGCGUGGGGAGCAAACAGGAUUAGAUACCCUGGUAGUCCACGCCUUAAACUAUGAAUACUAAGUGUCGGCGGGUUACCGCCGGUGCCGCAGCUAACGCAUUAAGUAUUCCGCCUGGGAAGUACGGCCGCAAGGUUGAAACUCAAAUGAAUUGACGG
rnacentral:rRNA from 1 species